rnacentral:rRNA from 1 species
CCUACGGGUGGCAGCAGUGAGGAAUAUUGGUCAAUGGACGGAAGUCUGAACCAGCCAUGCCGCGUGCAGGAAGACGGCGCUAUGAGUUGUAAACUGCGUUUGUACAAGGGUAAACCUGAAUACGUGUAGUCAGCUGAAAGUACUGUACGAAUAAGGAUCGGCUAACGCCGUGCCAGCAGACGCGGUAAUACGGAGGAUCCAAGCGUUAUCCGGAUUUAUUGGGGUUAAAGGGUGCGUAGGGGGCUUGAUAAGUUAGAGGUGAAAUGUACGAGCUUAACUCGGGAACUGCCUCUAAUACUGGUGAUCUAGAGCGUAGGUGCGCUAGGCGGAAUGUAUUUUGUAGCGGUGACAUGCUU